GUCCACGCCCUAAACGAUGAGGAGCAGGUGUUGGGGGUAGUACCUCAGUGCCGAAGCUAACGCAAUGACUCCUCCGCCUGGGGAGUAUGCACGCAAGUGUGAAACUCAAAGGAAUUGACGGGGGCCCCGCACAAGCGGUGGAGUAUGUGGUUUAAUUCGAAGCAACGCGAAGAACCUUACCAGGCCUUGACAUGGGAUGCAAAGCAGCAGAGAUGCAGCGGAGGUUAUCAUCCACACAGGUGGUGCAUGGUUGUCGU
rnacentral:rRNA from 1 species